rnacentral:misc_RNA from 1 species
GAUGAAGAACGUAGCGAAAUGCGAUAAGUAAUGUGAAUUGCAGAAUUCAGUGAAUCAUCGAAUCUUUGAACGCAACUUGCGCUCUCUGGUAUUCCGGAGAGCAUGCCUGUUUGAGUAUCAUGAAAUCUCAACCAUUAGGGUUUCUUAAUGGCUUGGAAUUGGGUGUUGCCAGUCGCCUGGCUCGCCUUAAAAGAGUUAGCGUGUUUAACUUGUCUAUCUGGCGUAAUAAGUUUCGCUGGUGUCGGCUUGAGAAGUACGCUUCUAAUCGUCUUCGGACAAUUCUUGAACUCUGGUCUCAAAUCAGGUAGGGCUACCCGCUGAACUUAAGCAUACAAUAAGCGGAGGA